UACGAAGGUGGCAAGCGUUACUCGGAAUUACUAGGCGUAAAGGGCAGGUAGGCGGUUUGGUUAGUCUGUUGUGAAAGCUCCUUGCUUAACGGGGAGAGGCCAACGGAUACUGCCAGACUUGAGUAUAGGAGAGGGUACUGGAAUUCCCGGUGUAGCGGUGAAAUGCGCAGAGAUCGGGAGGAACACCAAUGGCGAAAGCAGGUACCUGGACUAUUACUGACGCUCAGCUGCGAAAGCUAGGGGAGCAAACAGG
rnacentral:rRNA from 1 species